rnacentral:rRNA from 1 species
CCUACGGGAGGCAGCAGUGAGGAAUAUUGGUCAAUGGGCGGAAGCCUGAACCAGCCAAGUAGCGUGCGGGAUGAAGGCCCUACGGGUCGUAAACCGCUUUUGCACGGGGAUAACACCCUCCACUUGUGGAGGUCUGCAGGUACCGUGCGAAUAAGGGCCGGCAAAUUCCGUGCCAGCAGCCGCGGUAAUACGGAAGGCCCGAGCGUUAUCCGGAUUCAUUGGGCGGAAAGGGAGCGUAGGCGGGCGUUCAAGUCAGCGGUAAAAGCGCGCGGCUCAACCGCGCCCCGCAGUUGAAACUGGGCGCCUUGAGUUCACAACAGGCAGGCGGAAUUCGUGGUGUAGCGGUGAAAUGCAUAGAUAUCACGAGGAACCCCGAUUGCGAAGGCAGCCUGCCGGGGUGCGACUGACGCUGAGGCUCGAAGGUGCGGGUAUCAAACAGGAUUAGAUACCCCUGUAGUC